ACAACGUAGAGGGCGCUGUGGCAUUUCAUUCCGGCUUGGUUUAGAAAUUCUUAAAUUUCUCAGUCAGCAAAUGGCGUCACAAGUGGAAGUGCAUGAUGGUUUUUUUCGCGUUUCAUGACUAAAACGAAGAGCGUGUUUUUCAAGUUGUGUUUUUUCCUAUUUCUCAGUGUUUAUCAUCAGUUCUACACAUGUGAGACAAUUGCGCUAAUCCUCCUUGAAUACUCAACAUGGAAUUCGUGGUAAAUCAUUCGCAAUUAAGUGAAUAAUCUGCAUUGUAAUUAUGAACGAGGAAGCGGACAUAAAACCGAUUGAGGAGCGCCCCGUGUGGCCGCCGCUGGAAGGGAACAGUCUCCAAGUGGCUUCACCCCAUCCACAUAUCCCUCUAACCCCACAGGGGACCCCCAUCAAUCAAGGCUUCGAGUGUGAACUUCCUUUCGAACUGGUGCAACAGGGAUGGAAGAAAUUUUGGUCCAAAAGGGAGAGUCGCCCGUAUUUUUGGAACAAACUGACUGGGGAGAGUUUGUGGGAAAUGCCCCCAGUUGUCAAACCCCAGUUUGACUCCCUCUCAGACCCUUUAGGAAUUGCAGUGACUCCCCCGCAAACUCCCCAACCUGCACCGCAGACACCUUUACCUUUAGGUAAGAGGCGAGCCUCAGAAGACCUGCAAGGUCCCCAAGCAAAGAAAUUCAUCCUUGCUGGACCGUGGGACCUAGAAAUAAGCACUAAUGUGAUAAUUUUUGAAAGACCACCUUGCAUUUACAUGCAUUCACAUCCCGAAGUGGAGGCUUACAGAUGUGCAAUGCUGGCCAAGCUAAGACAAUGCUACCAGGAGCUGUGCCAUUCGAGGGAGGCGAUUGACGCACCGAAAGACUCUUUCAACAGAUGGCUCAUGGAAAGAAAAGUAAUUGAUACAGGAUACGACCCGCUAUUAUCCAGCAGCUGCUAUCCAGAGAUAUCUCUUUCCAUGUACAAGGAAAUCAUGAACGACAUCCCGAUCAAACUGGUACGGCCCAAAUUUACUGGCGAUGCUCGGAAACAGCUGUCUAGGUGGGCUGAAGCGGCGAAGACUAUCAUGGAAUCGAGAAACGCGGAAGCAGAAAGUCGAAAAGUGGUUAAGUGGAACGUGGACGAAACCUUUCAAUGGUUGAGAAAAACAGUUGGGGCGACUUAUGACGACUUUCAGGAUCGUCUGGCACAUUUGAAGCAACAAUGCCAACCACACCUCACUGAAACUGUUCGGACGUCGGUUGAGGGCAUUUGCCUGAAACUGUACAACCUGUCAUGCGACUAUGCCAAAAAAGUUCGAGAGAAAUCCAAUAGCAUCUUGAAAGAGCAUUCCAUGGAAUUACCGUCCCAACCAUUCACUUCACAGACGCUGCGAAAGGUCUGGUGCUAUCCGGUUCAGUUUGCGAUUGGUUGCCCCCGUUUACCAGUUGUAGAAUACCUGCCAGAUCGAGACCAAGCCAUGUUGCGCUACCAAAGCGAUACUCUCGCGAUUAACAGUUUGUACCUGCAGAAAUUGGAACACUUGUACAGACACAAUUGUUUCGACGACCGAAAAUUUGAACUGUUUAUUCCCCGGGUCUGGGUCAUGCUCAAGCGGUACGCUACGUUUCUGGGGGUCAACCCGACGCCAAACAACGCCAAUCCAGAUAUCCGAGACACUCAGCAGUCACUUCCUGUAACAGCGUUCGAGUGCCUCAACAAGACAUUUGGUGUUACAUUCGAAUGCUUUGCUUCCCCAUUAAAUUGCUACUUUCGCCAAUAUUGCUCUGCUUUUGCGGACUGCGACUCGUAUUUUGGAAGCAGAGGGCCCUUCUUGAACCUAAAAGCCUUGUCUGGGUCAUUUCAAGCCAAUCCACCUUACUGCGAGGAGCUGAUGGAAGCAGCUGUGAUUCACAUGGAAGGACUGCUGGACGACACUCUAGAACCGUUAAGUUUUAUUGUGUUGGUUCCCGAUUAUCGGGAACCCACGCCGGCAGCACUGGUGCGUCUGGAAUCCAGUCAGUUCAAGCGGAAACAGGUCACAAUUCCCGCGUACGAGCACGAGUUUAGGCACGGGUUCCAGCACGUUCUAAACAGAAAUCUGCAUGGUAUCGGUAGAUCGGUAGAAUCCUUGACGAAUCGGAAGAUCUACCGAAAAAUCGGUAGACCUGGCAUCGCUGACCGCCAGUCAAGGCUGCGACUGCGCUGCCGUCACGAGGACCAUUUCGCUGUGAGAGUGAGUGAGAGCCGGCCUACUCUAGUUCUGUGGUGUCUUACCUGCUCGGCCUACUAGUGACGUCGGAGCAGUUGGGCCUUGACUUUCGAUGGUGCUGGUUUGACUCGUUCGCUAUACGAGGCAUAAUAUUUUGCUGCCACUUCUGGACGGUUUCAGUGGAGACAUUUGCCCAGGCACUACAUAAUAGCAAUGCAGCAUGCUUCAAUCUGGUUUGUUUUAAUAACGUAUCUACGAGGAUUUAAUGUAGGCAAUAGCCCCUACGAUUAAAAGGGCCCUUUCAGGAAAAUUUGGGCUUCUCAAAUGCUAUCUAACUUGAUGAAAAACCUAGUGUUGAAACCAAUAAACCAAAAUUGCAGUUGUCAUGCAGGCAUUGGCAAAAGAUUUGGACGUUUUUAGACGAUCUUGGAUUUUUGCUCGUCCUUUCAGUGGCAGUUAUGAUUUUUGCUUGAUGACGUACCAGGAUGGAAUUUUUGAUUCAAUGAAAACACCCAAUCAAUCAUAUCAAAUCCGGAGUAUGCAAUACAAUUGGGAUGCUUCUCCGGUUUACUCAAGGUCCGAAUUGUUGCGGUAGAACUGUACAAUGAAUAAUGGAAUUUCGCAUUUGAAACACCAACAUAACUCUUUCUAGAUGUGUUGUUAUUUGUAUGCGCACUCUUUCGUAGAGGCGAUGAGGGUACAUGAUCCGGGAAAUGUUCCGCAGGAUUAUUUGGUUCACUUAAACUGUACUGUUACUUUAUGAAUUGGAUUUGCUGUAAUUGGAUCCAUUCCAAUGAGAAUUUUAUGCACUUAAAUUUCGUUUAAUUGUUUUUGUAUAAUAAUGAUAUUCAUCUUGCGUUAUUUCAAAAUUAGUCUACAGGUAAAAUGGAAUAGUCUCAGUUUAUAAUAAAAAAACCAAAAAUUUG
rnacentral:misc_RNA from 1 species